rnacentral:rRNA from 1 species
AGCGAACGCUGGCGGCAGGCUUAACACAUGCAAGUCGAGCGGGCCCUUCGGGGUCAGCGGCAGACGGGUGAGUAACACGUGGGAACGUACCCUUUGGUUCGGAAUAACGCUGGGAAACUAGCGCUAAUACCGGAUACGCCCUUUUGGGGAAAGGCUUGCUGCCGAAGGAUCGGCCCGCGUCUGAUUAGCUAGUUGGUGGGGUAAUGGCCUACCAAGGCGACGAUCAGUAGCUGGUCUGAGAGGAUGAUCAGCCACACUGGGACUGAGACACGGCCCAGACUCCUACGGGAGGCAGCAGUGGGGAAUAUUGGGCAAUGGGCGCAAGCCUGAUCCAGCCAUGCCGCGUGAGUGAUGAAGGCCUUAGGGUUGUAAAGCUCUUUUGUCCGGGACGAUAAUGACAGUACCGGAAGAAUAAGCCCCGGCUAACUUCGUG